rnacentral:rRNA from 1 species
UUACGGGAGGCAGCAGUGAGGAAUCUUGCGCAAUGGGGGCAACCCUGACGCAGCAACGCCGCGUGAGUGAGGAAGGUCUUCGGAUCGUAAAGCUCUGUCGGGUGGGAAGAAACGUAUGGAAGCUAAUACCCUUCAUACUUGACGGUACCACCAAAGGAAGCACCGGCUAACUCCGUGCCAGCAGCCGCGGUAAUACGGGGGGUGCAAGCGUUGUUCGGAAUCAUUGGGCGUAAAGGGCGUGUAGGCGGCUUGGUAAGUCAGAUGUGAAAGCCCUGGGCUUAACCCAGGAAGUGCAUUUGAAACUGUCAGGCUUGAGUAGGGGAGAGGAAGGUGGAAUUCCUGGUGUAGAGGUGAAAUUCGUAGAUAUCAGGAGGAACACCGGUGGCGAAGGCGACCUUCUGGCCCUAUACUGACGCUGAGACGCGAAAGCGUGGGUAGCAAACAGGAUUAGAUACCCCGGU